AAACCUCUUUCAGUACCGACGAAGCGUAAGUGACGGUAGGUACAGAAGAAGCACCGGCCAACUACGUGCCAGCAGCCGCGGUAAUACGUAGGGUGCGAGCGUUGUCCGGAAUUACUGGGCGUAAAGAGCUCGUAGGUGGUUUGUCGCGUUGUUCGUGAAAACUCACAGCUUAACUGUGGGCGUGCGGGCGAUACGGGCAGACUGGAGUACUGCAGGGGAGACUGGAAUUCCUGGUGUAGCGGUAGAAUGCGCAGAUAUCAGGAGGAACACCGGUGGCGAAGGCGGGUCUCUGGGCAGUAACUGACGCUGAGGAGCGAAAGCGUGGGGAGCGAACAGGAUUAGAUACCCUGGUAGUCCACGCCGUAAACGGUGGGUACUAGGUGUGGGUUUCCUUCCUUGGGAUCCGUGCCGUAGCUAACGCAUUAAGUACCCCGCCUGGGGAGUACGGCCGCAAGGCUAAAACUCAAAGGAAUUGACGG
rnacentral:rRNA from 1 species